rnacentral:rRNA from 1 species
UUAAAAGACCUAGCAAUAGGUAUGCUUAGGGAGGAGCUUGCGUCACAUUAGUUAGUUGGUGGGGUAAAGGCCUACCAAGACUAUGAUGUGUAGCCGGGCUGAGAGGUUGAACGGCCACAUUGGGACUGAGACACGGCCCAAACUCCUACGGGAGGCAGCAGUAGGGAAUUUUCGGCAAUGGAGGAAACUCUGACCGAGCAACGCCGCGUGAACGAUGAAGUAUUUCGGUACGUAAAGUUCUUUUAUUAGGGAAGAAUAAAUGAUGGAAAAAUCAUUCUGACGGUACCUAAUGAAUAAGCCCCGGCUAACUAUGUGCCAGCAGCCGCGGUAAUACAUAGGGGGCAAGCGUUAUCCGGAAUUAUUGGGCGUAAAGGGUGCGUAGGCGGUUAAAUAAGUUUAUGGUCUAAGUGCAAUGCUCAACAUUGUGAUGCUAUAAAAACUGUUUAGCUAGAGUAAGAUAGAGGCAAGUGGAAUUCCAUGUGUAGUGGUAAAAUGCGUAAAUAUAUGGAGGAACACCAGUAGCGAAGGCGGCUUGCUGGGUCUUUACUGACGCUGAGGCACGAAAGCGUGGGGAGCAAACAGGAUUAGAUACCCUGGUAGUCCACGCCGUAAACGAUGAGUACUAAACGUUGGGUAAAACCAGUGUUGAAGUUAACACAUUAAGUACUCCGCCUGAGUAGUACGUACGCAAGUAUGAAACUUAAAGGAAUUGACGGGACUCCGCACAAGCGGUGGAUCAUGUUGUUUAAUUCGAAGGUACCCGAAAAACCUCACCAGGUCUUGACAUGCUUCUGCAAAGCUGUAGAAACACAGUGGAGGUUAUCAGUUGCACAGGUGGUGCAUGGUUGUCGUCAGCUCGUGUCGUGAGAUGUUGGGUUAAGUCCCGCAACGAGCGCAACCCUUAUUGUUAGUUACCAGCACGUAAUGGUGGGGACUUUAGCAAGACUGCCAGUGAUAAAUUGGAGGAAGGUGGGGACGACGUCAAAUCAUCAUGCCCCUUAUGACCUGGGCUACAAACGUGAUACAAUGGCUGUUACAAAGGGUAGCUGAAGCGCAAGUUUUUGGCGAAUCUCAAAAAAACAGUCUCAGUUCGGAUUGAAGUCUGCAACUCGACUUCAUGAAGUGGAAUCGCUAGUAAUCGCGAAUCAGCAUUAGGCCGAAAU